CAGCCGCCGCGGGAAUACGAAGGGGGCUAGCGUUGCUCGGAAUUACUGGGCGUAAAGGGCGCGUAGGCGGCGCUCCAAGUUAGGCGUGAAAUUCCCGGGCUCAACCUGGGGACUGCGCUUAAGACUGGAGUGCUUGAGGAAGGAAGAGGGUUGUGGAAUUCCCAGUGUAGAGGUGAAAUUCGUAGAUAUUGGGAAGAACACCGGUGGCGAAGGCGGCAACCUGGUCCAUUACUGACGCUGAGGCGCGAUAGCGUGGGGAGCAAACAGGAUUAGAUACCCCCGUAGUCCCUGUCUCUUAUAU
rnacentral:rRNA from 1 species